ACAAAGGCUCUUUUAAGAGCCACAAACCACUCCAAAAGAGCAAUA
rfam:Astyanax mexicanus Tnplaced_Scaffold4299, whole genome shotgun sequence.